rnacentral:lncRNA from 1 species
AGGUGUGGAGCAAAAAGCUUCAGUUGACCUCUCAAACUGCUAGCUAAAGUGGAAAGUGUGUUAGACUAUUUGUAAACUGAAGCUAAGAAAACAGUGAAAAAAA